rnacentral:rRNA from 1 species
CCUACGGGAGGCAGCAGUGAGGAAUAUUGGUCAAUGGACGAGAGUCUGAACCAGCCAAGUAGCGUGAAGGAUGACUGCCCUAUGGGUUGUAAACUUCUUUUAUAAAGGAAUAAAACGAGGCACGUGUGCCUUUUUGCAUGUACUUUAUGAAUAAGGAUCGGCUAACUCCGUGCCAGCAGCCGCGGUAAUACGGAGGAUCCGAGCGUUAUCCGGAUUUGUUGGGUUUAAAGGGAGCGUAGAUGGGUUGUUAAGUCAGUUGUGAAAGUUUGCGGCUCAACCGUAAAAUUGCAAUUGAUACUGGCAGUCUUGAGUACAGUUGAGGUAAGCGGAAUUCGUGGUGUAGCGGUGAAAUGCUUAGAUAUCACGAAGAACCCCGAUUGCGAAGGCAGCUUACUAAACUGUGACUGACAUUGAUGCUCGAAAGUGUGGGUAUCAAACAGGAUUAGAUACCCCUGUAGUC